CCACAGCAAACUAAAUCUGCCAGAUCCCUUUCCUCAUGGGGCUGGGGACAGUGGCCUCAGUGGUAGCGAAGGUAGCCUGUUGCCUACAUGGGUUUCUCUAUGACAUCUUGGAUACAGUU
rnacentral:snoRNA from 1 species